GCACACAGGAAAUCAGAACUGAUGCAUUUGGUGGAGAAAACAAUAUUAAUUCAAUCAGUGGUUCCACAGGUGGACAAAUACCUGAGCACUACACAUCAAAAGCUUGGCAAAUUCAUGUCUACUUAAAUGUUUGUGUGUAUGUCUGUAUAAGUUAUUGUUAGACAUUUAAUGAGCUGUUAAUUUAACUAAAACAACUUCCCAGUUAUUUGACUCAGUAAUUUACCAAUGGAAAUGAG